rnacentral:pre_miRNA from 1 species
GAGGUACUCCCUUUGUUCGGAAUUACUUGUCUCGGAAAUGAAUGUAUUUAGAACUAAAAUACAUCUAGAUACAUCCAUUUCUUUGACAAGUAAUUUCGAACAGAGGGAGUAGAAA